rnacentral:rRNA from 1 species
UACGAAGGGUGCAAACGUUGCUCGGAAUUACUGGGCGUAAAGAGCGUGUAGGCGGCCAGGUAGGUCAGCUGUGAAAACUCGAGGCUCAACCUCGAGAUGUCGGCUGAAACCAUCUGGCUAGAGUCCGGAAGAGGAGAAUGGAAUUCCCGGUGUAGCGGUGAAAUGCGCAGAUAUCGGGAAGAACACCCGUGGCGAAGGCGGGUCUCUGGGCAGUAACUGACGCUGAGGAGCGAAAGCGUGGGGAGCGAACAGG